UACGGAGGGUGCAAGCGUUGCUCGGAAUUAUUGGGCGUAAAGGGUAGGUAGGUGGUCUUAUUUGUCUGGGGUGAAAGCCUUGAGCUUAACUCGAGAAGUGCCCCAGAAACGGUAAGACUGGAGUCCUGGAGAGGGUCGUGGAAUUCCCGGUGUAGCGGUGAAAUGCGUAGAGAUCGGGAGGAACACCAGAGGCGAAAGCGGCGACCUGGACAGGCACUGACACUCAACUACGACAGCGUGGGGAGCAAACAGG
rnacentral:rRNA from 1 species